rnacentral:ncRNA from 1 species
UUCGGACCCGGUGAGAAUCCGGGUGGCUCUUUCGGCCGCCGAUCCGCCGAACCCUG